CCUACGGGGGGCAGCAGUGAGGAAUAUUGGUCAAUGGGCGGGAGCCUGAACCAGCCAAGUCGCGUGAGGGACGACGGUCCUAUGGAUUGUAAACCUCUUUUGUCGGGGAACAAAGGCGCCCACGGGUGGGCGGAUGAGUGUACCCGAAGAAAAAGCAUCGGCUAACUCCGUGCCAGCAGCCGCGGUAAUACGGAGGAUGCGAGCGUUAUCCGGAUUUAUUGGGUUUAAAGGGUGCGUAGGCGGAAGGUUAAGUCAGCGGUCAAAUGUCGGUGCUCAACACCGGCCUGCCGUUGAAACUGGUCUUU
rnacentral:rRNA from 1 species